CGCACUGGUUUUGAUCCGCAAAAAGUACAUUUGGUUGAAACCCCACUGGUGUGGAAAAGGCGCAUAUUUACUUUUUGCUUAUUCUGGAGUAUUCACUUAAACCUGCCGCCAGUUGAAUGGAAACCUAGCUAGUGGACCUGUAUGCGAUUGAAUGAAACCACUCGAACGCAUAUUUGCUUGCCUUAAAUUGUCCUUCAAAGAUUCCGUAGGUGAUCCUUAUAAAUAGAUACCUCCCGGUUUCUCGUUCUCUUGUCUUCUGUUCUCACUCAGAGGUCUGAGUAUGUUGUCUCGGAGGUGAAGAGUACUAAGGGGAACAUUAGAUACCGCCAUAAUCUAUUGGUGUCACUAGCCAAGCAGAUGGCACAUGAAAGUAGCAGUAAUGCCUGCCUUUUCUCCCUGAAAAAAUCUAAUAUAGUGAUAAAGGAUGGUCUGGAAGUGCAGCAGUGCUGAGUUACUGGUCAUAGUGGGUCAUGACAUGGUGCCACAAGCCAUGCUGCCAAUGAGAAAUUGGCAUACUGCUGAUUGGUGUCCUGUCCUAGCGGAUGUAACCUGGAAGUAGCAGAGUGAUUGCCGCCUCUCCUCCCCGAAAGAAUGCUGUGCACUUAACGCUAAAGUAUGGUCUGGAGGUGCAGCAGUGCUGACUUACUGGUCAUAGUGGGUCAUGACAUGGUGCCACAAGCCAUGAUGUGAAGCUGCCAAUGAGAAAUUGGAGUACCACUGAUUGGUGUCCUGUCCUAGCGGAUGUAACCUGGAAGUAGCAAAAUAAUUGCUGCCUUUCCUUCCUGAAAGAAUGCUGUGCAGUGUGCACAUAACGAUGGUCUGGAGGUGUAGCAGUGCACACUGGUCGUAGUGGGGUUGACAUGGAGCCGCAAGUCAUUAUCGGAGAGGUGCUGAAGAACAAAUGAAGAUUGUGACCCGUUUCAGUUGAAGAUGUAAGGUGGCAGUAAUGGGUUGUACCUUAGUAGAAGAAAGCAGAUUGUUCAGUUGCCGGUCCUAGACUAGGGUGCCAUCUGAUUUUUAUGUGUAUGCAGCUGCCACUAUUAUAGCCUUUAGAUGCCGUUUACCACAGCAUGCUCAUCAUGCGAAAACCCUUUUGACUUGGUGUAAUUGGCUCAACAAAUACUAAUUAAACAAUGUACCUGGCCUGUUUGAUUUAAAUAAAUGUAUUGCUUUCAAGAUAAUUGAAAUAAACAAAAGCUGGUCUCAGUGGUUGGUUGAAA